UGGGGAAUUUUGGACAAUGGGGGAAACCCUGAUCCAGCCAUCCCGCGUGUGCGAUGAAGGCCUUCGGGUUGUAAAUCACUCUUGGCAGGAAAUACACGUCAUGGGUUAAUACCCCGUGAAACUGACGGUACCUGCAGAAUAAGCACCGGCUAACUACGUGCCAGCAGCCGCGGUAAUACGUAGGGUGAAAGCGGUAAUCGGAAUUACUGGGCGUAAAGCGUGCGCAGGCGGUUCGGAAAGAAAGAUGUGAAAUCCCAGAGCUCAACUUUGGAAGUGCAUUUUUGACUACCGGGCUAGAGUGUGUGAGAGGGAGGUGGAAUUCCGAGUGUAGCAGUGAAAUGCGUAGAUAUGCGGAGGAACACCGAUGGCGAAGGCAGCCUCCUGGGAUAACACUGACGCUCAUGCACGAAAGCGUGGGGAGCAAACAGG
rnacentral:rRNA from 1 species